rnacentral:lncRNA from 1 species
AUUUUGCAAUUAGAUAUUUCUUGCUUACUAUUCUGGACAAAGAAAGAUAACUCUAAUUAAAAAAAAAUUUGCUAUUUCACAAUAUUGUGCAAUUAGAUAUUUCUUGCCAUUGCGCAAUACUGUGCAAUUGAAAAGACUUGCUAUUGCACAACACUUAAUAUAAAAUUUUAGAUCCUGAUUUGGACCAACUUGAAAACUGGG